GAGGUCCAACCUGCCCAGUGACCACAAGUUCAACGGCCGCGGUAUUUUGACCGUGCAAAGGUAGCGUAAUCACUUGUCUUUUAAAUAGAGACCUGUAUGAAUGGUCAAACGAAGGCUUAGCUGUCUCCCUUUUCAAGUCAGUGAAAUUGAUCUACCCGUGCAGAAGCGGGUAUAAUUAUACAAGACGAGAAGACCCUUUGGAGCUUUAGGUACAAAACUCAACCACACCAAACAACUCAAUAAAAAGCAAAAACUUUGUGGAACAUGAAAUUUUACCUUCGGUUGGGGCGACCACGGAGAAAAACAAAACCUCCAAAUGGAUUGGGACAAUUUCCCUAAAACUAAGAGAGACAUCUUCAAGCCUCAGAACAUCUGACCAAAAAUGACCCGGUCACUAAGACCGAUCAACGAACCAAGUUACCCCAGGGAUAACAGCGCAAUCCCCUCCUAGAGUCCAUAUCGACGAGGGGGUUUACGACCUCGAUGUUGGAUCAGGACAUCCUAAUGGUGCAGCCGCUAUUAAGGG
rnacentral:rRNA from 1 species